CGCGCGGGAGGAGCUUGUGCUCUGCAAUAAGGGCUCGCCGGUUCCGGUCGCCCCGGGCCAGGACCCAGAGAUUUCUUGACUGAAUACCGUGUGCUUGAAGGCGUCCUAGGUGCUAUAGGAAUCCACAUGUGAACCUGAUAAGCACCCUUCCCCAGGAGGGAGGCCUGGUGCUUCAAACUGAGGGAAGAUAAAGAGAGGAGAAAUCUGGGACAGAGCCUUCUGGAGGGCAACAUGGAUAUGUGUCUCCUGCUUGCAGCUUGGGAUGGCAAACCGAAGAGCCUGCAUAGUCUGUCAUAAGUGCAGCCUCUAGUGGAAGCAAACUGGAAUUUAAGACCUUGCCUCAGGCAAGAGGGGGAAAGAACAGUGAAGCUGGGUGUUUUAUUACAUGUAAGAGCCAUUUAUAGUUUUUUCUGUGAACUGUGUACUCAUGCCUUUUGUCUUUGGUUUCUCACGGAUUUAUAGGAGCUCUUUGUGUUUUCUGUGUUGCAAUUAACUUGUCCCAAUAUUGUUCAUAUUUGUUAUUUAUGCCUUUUUUCUAAUUAAACAUUAAUUUUUUUUCAGGUGGUCAGAUGUAUCCUUGAAUUUCUUUUAUGGCCAUCUAGAUUGUAUGUUAUUCCAUUUUAAACUGAUCUUACACACUUAAAAUUUUAAAUUUCUCAUGUUUUAUAUUUUUAGG